AUUGAGAACUGCGUUAUCUCUCCGGGAAAGAGUGAGACUGGGCACACGCAUUGUGCCAUAACUGAUGGAAUAAUUGUCCGUCAAACAGCACUGGUGGAUCACUCUCUCCUAUCGCUAGUUCACUAAACAUAUAUACCGGUGGUAUACAGAUUAAAGGGUGAUAAACACAAACAAGCCCUCAAUAUUUCAAUUUAGUUAAAACCCAGUCGCACGCGAAGUGUUAAAGGAUCGGAGCUGUUUAAGUGUUUAUGAAUCGAGUGAGACCAUGCGCGGAUAUGGAAGAUGAGUCCCCCAGAUAGCGAGGCGAUACUGUUCACUAGAGGGAAUCCAGAGAGGGGCUCCGAACCAAACAGGUAGUCCUCGGGAUAGAAGUCCAUCCGAGUCCUUGUGGAGCAGAUACCAUAGUAAACGAGUGCUAUCGAUGCGGACUUUACCUAUCCAUUCUUCAAAAGUAGUGUAUUAACUUUCAACGUGGCUCUACAAUAAUUACAUCACAUACAUGUAUAUAAGACCGUAAUUAUCAGGAUGGCAUUAACGUGCAUAAUUAAAAGCAAUAUGGUGUUAUUACCUGAUCCUCUUACGGCGCUCAUCACUCACCACAGAGUCGAAGAGAUGCAUUACGGCCUGUAGAAGGAAGGGAUGACUUGUAAUUCGACCAUGGAGUCUGUACACGAUUACCAACUUCAGCAGAAUAUGCUGAUCACCCUGUUGUUUCUAGCCUUGUUUACGGGGUGGAGGACGUUCUAUGACCGAGUCAAACGCUCCCUUCGUCAGGUGACGGUGGUGGUAGUGGGAGGGGGGCCUGUUGGGCUGCUAGCGGCUUUCCUGGCCCUCAGAUCGGGCAGGGCCGGCAAGAUCGUAAUCUUUGAGGAAAAGGACAGGAAGAGCAUUCUGAAUGGACAAUAUCAGUUGACAUUUGAUCGACAAAGUGUGGAAUUUCUUAGAGAAUCGGGAAUAGAUUUUGACAACAUCGAGGGUUGUCGCCAUGAUAACAACUUUACAACAAAAGUUGGUGUGUUUGUGGAGUUUAUUCUGGUCAGGCUGACGACACCUGACAACAACGUCACACUGCGAUUCGGCAGUAAGUUUGACAAAGAGACAUGCAAAGAACUGGAUGGAAUUCAAGGGCGAUUACUUGUCAUAGCGUGCGACGGAAGGAAUGGACAAGCAUCGCGAUUGCUGGGAUUGGACGAAUUCUCAGAGCAGCACUCUUGUAAUGCUUACGGUGCUAUAGCCGCCAUUGAACGCACAGAGGCGCGGGAUGUUCCUACGCCAGAAAAAAGAGUCCAUAAUUUGACAUUUGAUUUAUCAGCUUAUGGAGCAUAUCAUUCUGACAAUGAUUGCUCUCCAGGGUUUAGUCUGAAGGUUUUCGGCAACAGCAAACAUCGAUUUAUAUCACUAGCCAUUUCAAAGUGCGAAUCAUCCGUGGUCAAAGCUCUCAGGACAAUUCUCGAUCGAUCGGUAAGUGUCGAUUAUCGAUGAUCAGCCAGAGACGGGGUUGGUAAUAGGUAGACACGAUCUCACACUUUGUCCGUAUGUCUGGCUGUUUAUGUAUGUUUUCGUCUGGUCUCUUUAAUUCUUUCGUGUUGUAACAUUUCAAAAAAAAAAAAAAUGAUUGAUUUGCAUUGAUAUUUAAAAUUCAAACUAAAAUCUAGUUGACAAAUUUUAGUUUUUAGGAUCUUGGCCUUGACCCUUUUCUUUAAGAGGCAGAAAAAAUUGUCGUCUUUCUAUUUAAUUGUUUUGUUGUGUAUCAGUGCUUCCGUCUUUUUAUAAUAGUUGACAAGUGUCAUAUCUAAGUGAAGAAUCUUAGUACCACUACAGAUAAAUAUUUGACUAAACAUGCACUUAAAGUAUCACCCGUUCUCAAUUUCUUUACGAUCAGCAAAAUUCAGCGAUUUUUAUUUAUUUUUAGAUAACGCUUUUGCUACAAACUUAGAAAGAAGCGGACAUGUUGAUAUUAAUUUUAUACCCUGGAAGUGAUGUUCAACAACGUUUGACUUAUACCAUAACGUUAUGCAUUUAUGACUGUUUUAUAUUGAAAAACUGAAACUAUGAAACUUGUUACCAAGUUUUAUAGAUUAGUAAUUUAUGUUCAAUUUUUUAAAUACAAGUUUCAUUUAGCAGUUAAAUUGUUUGCAAUCAUUUAAUACACGAUAUAGAUAUUACAUUCCGACUAAAAACUCUUUAAGCACUACCCUUGGAAUUCAAAGCGUUUUACAUUCGCUUACAUGCGAUUGAGAUUUGGCGAGAUUCUCGCUUUUUGCGUCAGUUUCAAUGCAUUAACAGAUCGUAAAGCGCUAUUUUUAGUAUUAGAUGCAUCCGUUGCGACGUUCAAUACAGUCAAUUCUCAUUUGGAAAAGAUAUUAUUAUGCAAUUGGCUUUAUCUUAGUUUUGCAUGGGUGAAAACAGACAGUGUAAGAUAAAAUUGCGACGUGCAAUCUAUAUUCUGACGUAGAAGCUAUCAACUUCCCAGUAUUUUGCACAUUUUUUUGUUCGUUAAUUUCCAUACAAAAGUUGUAAAGAAUAGCCAAUCGAACUAAAGUAUAUUACCGUUGACAAAGGCUUGUUUAUAUCUUUCUAUUUUACAGAUGAUGAGGAACAUUUUCAUGAAGUGCUUCAACCUUUAUAAAAUGGGGUAUGAGCAGUCGCUGAGCGAGUCAUACGCAUUGAACCACAUGAAAUUCAGUCCCCGUCUGUUUGAGAUCAAACUGUCCCAGAGGUGUGAGACGGUGGCCUACUUCCAUGACUGUGAUACCUUUGUGUUGGCGGAGGGGGAGGCGGCUCUCUCCUUUAACUUCCACACAGGGCUUGACAUCAAUCCGGCCAUACGCGGCCUAAUGUCUCUAUCAAAGUUCAUAGAAAUGAUCACCUUAGCCGAAUCGGAACAUUCCAUAUCGAACGCACUCCUCUUCAAGAUGAAGCACAAUGAGUUUGUUUGUAAAGACCUUAUACGCAACGGACUGCGGGAAUACAUGUUUUCGUGAAGAGUUCCCAUCUCUUGGCCUCAUCCCACCCUUCCUGACAAGCUGUAGCGGAAGCAGUAUUUAUAGAUACACCAGCAUCCGAUCCACGUGACGGAUUAAGGACGGUAGCCGUCUGACUGAAGGGAACCAGUCAAAUAGUACAUUCCUGAGAACUAGUCAGAGGAUCAGAAUAUUUAUUGUAAACCUACUUGUUGUCACGAUUUAUUUACAAAAUUAUUCUAACAGAGCUACUAGAUAUUUUUAUUACGAAAAAAAUAAAUUAU
rnacentral:misc_RNA from 1 species